UGGGGAAUAUUGGACAAUGGGCGCAAGCCUGAUCCAGCCAUGCCGCGUGGGUGAAGAAGGCCUUCGGGUUGUAAAGCCCUUUUGUUGGGAAAGAAAAGCAGUCGGUUAAUACCCGAUUGUUCUGACGGUACCCAAAGAAUAAGCACCGGCUAACUUCGUGCCAGCAGCCGCGGUAAUACGAAGGGUGCAAGCGUUACUCGGAAUUACUGGGCGUAAAGCGUGCGANGGUGGUGGUUUAAGUCUGUUGUGACAGCCCUGGCCUCAACCUGGGAAUUGCAGUGGAUACUGGGUCACUAGAGUGUGGAAAAGGGUGGCGGAAUUCCCGGGGUAGCAGUGAAUUGCUUAAAGAUCGGAAGGAACAUCCGUGGCGAAGGGGGUUACCUGGACCUACACUGACCCUGAGGCACGAAGGCGUGGGGAGCAAACAGGAUUAGAUACCCUGGUAGUCCACGCCCUAAAUGAUGCGAACUGGAUGUUGGGUGAAUUUGGCACGCAGUAUCGAAGCUAACGCGUUAAAGUUCGCCGCCUGGGGGAGUACGGUCCCAGAAUUGAA
rnacentral:rRNA from 1 species